rnacentral:tRNA from 1 species
GCCCGGAUAGCUCAGUUGGUAGAGCAGCGGAUAGAAAAUCAGAGUGUCGGUGGUUCAAAUCCGCCUCCGGGCACCA